rnacentral:lncRNA from 1 species
UUCUGAUUUCUGUGUACUUUAAUUAAUGCAAACACUUGAAUGGUAAAUAUGUGGCUCGUAUAUACGGGCUCCCUGUAAACCCCGCAGGGCAGACAGAGAACACUGGUAUGACAUCACAAGUUCUUCCUUAAAUACUGGACAGACUUAGUUCCCUCUCCAUGAGGGCCUGUCAUAGUAGAGGCUAGAAUAUGGUUUAGACUUAUUCCAGCCUAUCGUUGGCGUGCAGGUUGGUCCCAACCUCUAGACGCACUCCUGUUUCCUGGCGUAGCUGUUGUCUCUGGCGGAUGUCUCAUCUUGUGACUGCAAAAUGCACAGUUCUCUAAAACCCUUACACCCCCCUGCAUAUACCUUUCACCCAUAUCCUGUUAUUGCUAUUAUUCUACAGAAAAGCUCUUGCAAAACCCUGUUUUAAAGCAUCAGCAUUCUGUCCACAUGACCCACCAUCACAUGAGCCACUUCCUCUAACAUAUAGCAGUAUUCAAUUAUCUUAUAGUUAAUAAACUUAUCAUUAUAGCAUCUGUGUUAUAUUAUAUAGGUUAUGCAAACAAAUUGUUAUAUUAUAUAGUAUAUGGACACAAAUAGUUGGUCAAACCCUAACAAUCCCCCUUUUCACAGCUGAUAGGUGUGAAUACAUAAGUUCUUAAAAUUUCAGGGAAAUUUUGAGAUUCCCCCUUUUGACACCCCCUAGGGUGUCACUCAACACAAUUGUAAAUUUUCGAUUUAAUGAUUAGAUGAGUAGUUAAAAACCCUCACGUCCUUCCGGCUACACCUAACUUGUACUAGGUUGACUACCAGUCACCCAGGAACUUCAAACCCUCACAUCAGGAAAGACAAAUAGUACACAGGAUAUAUUCAGAACAUAUUAUUCAAAACGUAUAAAAAGAAGACCUUCUUGCGGCAGGGGCUACACCUAACAUGUGUGGGACAGACUCUUUGUCCCAGAACUUAAAACCUUCACAUCCACCUGUCACUACAUUCAACACAUAUAAGAACAUUUUGGAUAAGCUUUAUUCUACCACUUCCUCAACAGCAAACCAAGGAUCGUCCUCAGACAGACCCCUCCUUUGCCCAGAGGUUGAUUCAGUAUCCACUGGGGUCACUUCCAUCAAGGGCAUCAUUCCGGUUGCCCAUCUGCUCCGUUAUCAAUCUCUCCAGAACCCUGGAAAUGAGACCUCUCGCACACGGGACCAGACAACAACCACACAACACAAACACACUCAUACCGGUGAAAGCAGCCCAUAACACAGUGAUUAUAACAUUUUUCCAUUUUUCCAAACAUACUAUCGCAUCACCCAGUCAGUGAGGUAUCCACCCCAGAGUUCUCUACUAACUCGUUAGCCAAUGUGGUUAAACCUGCCAGGGCCUUGGCCACUGAUCCAUCUGUAGCUGUGUUAUUUGGGAUGAAAGUACAGCACAUUGAUCCGAAUAUCACACACACACCACCCUUCUCCACCAGUAACACAUCCAAUGCAAUUCUAUUCUGCCAAGCCAUCAAACUAGUUGCCUCUGUCUGUUCUGCUAAUCCUUUUAUCACAUCUCUAGUAUAGUUGAUGAUCUGCUGUUGGUUAUAAUAAAUAUAAUUUAUCCAAUCUACAUUUUUAUUGAGGGUUGACCACCAGAAGAUGCUGAUUCCAAUCCAGCCAAUAUCUAAUUCCUAGUUUUAAACUCAUUAGACAACCCCCUUGGAACCCCAAUGCUAUCAAUGUAAGCUCUAUCGUCUAAGGACCCAGACGGAACACUCCUUCUCUCUCUGUUCUAUUGCGUGUUCUCACUUCCCCUACAUCCCGUCCGUGUAUAUUGUGUCAAGCCAUACAAUAAUAGUCUCCUCCUGCGACUGUGAAAUGGGGAAGUCUGGAUCUAAUGGGCACAUAGGAUACAGAUAAUGCAGAUCAGUGUAACUGUCUUUAGCUACUGAUCUAGCUGUAUACUGAAUCCAUUCCAGCCAUAGGUUGGAAUCCCCAAACCAAGUCUCCACCUCAAUCACUUCCUUAAGAUCUUUCGUCUGAACUAUCCUCACCAGUCCUUGGCUCUGGAUGACUACACGAGUAAUGUCCGUUUUAUCAGGGGUACAACUGGUAUCCUGUCCUAACCUCUACUACUCGGAAUGGUACCGUAGUGUCGACACUGGUCUGGUCAAGGUCAACAUACCAUAACCCUAAAUCCUCCUUUUUUAACGCUUUUAAUGGUAAUUCAUACCUUUAAGCAAUACUUCCCUUGCUCUGGAUUGCAGUCAAAAACCCUGGCUUUCACUAUACUCCAUCUGUUUCUAUAUUGGGUGUGUGGAUUGACAUAGCCUUCUCUCCCUGUGUGAGCUAUGACCUGAUUCCAUGAGUUACACAGGGAUCUACACAGAUAUCUUCCCCAUGAAGUCAGAGUCCUAGACUGCCAGGAGGUUAGGGACCCCAUUUGGUCUGCAUAGAACUCUAUUGAGACAUCCUUCCCUAACUCUACUCUCACUUCCUUUUUAUCCAGCUCGAAUGACCUUUUGUACCUAGGGCAUAAAAACUCCUCAUCUUCUACACUAUGGGUCAAGUUACCACUUUCUGACUUCUCGAGUGGUUCAUGGUGUAUUAGGAAUAUGGCUCCCACAAUCAGACAGCUCAGACCGACCAGUACCUCUGUAAAGCCGCACCCCCUCCCGGAGAACAUAUCACUGGCUAGAGGCCAACCCACACUUUCACUUCUAUGAACGCACACAGUGAGGAUCGGGCGGGUUAGGGAAUCUUCGUUAGAGAGGUAACCCCCGAACCUUAUUGGUAUUCGGUUCUUCUCCAACUCUGUGAUUGUUCGACAGUGUCAGUGUGUCUUACCCUCCCGCAAUGUGUGAUAUGAACCCAGGUAGCUCUUUCAGCUAUUCUCACCGCAAAGGCUGUUACCAGGAGCACUUGGUAUGGCCCCUCCCACUGUGGCUGCUUCCAGUUCUUUUCUCCUCAGGGACUGGAUCCACACCCAGUCUCCUGGUUGGAUUGAGUGAAUCACCUUCUCCUGUAAUUCACCUGUUGGACACAAAAUCUCGGACUUUUCAACUUUCUUAGUAACUUCCUUUUUCGUUCCACCCUCGGCUCCUUCCUCGUUAUCUCUGUCUUUCUUUUUCUCCUUCUCAGACUUUAGGAAUAAUUACUGUUGUGACUUUUGAUAAGUUAUUAGGUCUCACACACAUACAAGUUACCUUUAACUGGUCAGUAAACCUAUCUCACACGCACAUAAUUUUUUUUUCUCCCCCUGCUGAUCUCCUUCUUCAAACUUUCUCUCUCUCUUUCUUUACACUUGCCUUUUUGCCUUCUUAUCCGGGCUUUAGACAGCCAUACCCUGGCUACGUCUAACCCUCGACUUACUUUUUCCAUGUCUUGUCUCCACAUACCUUAUGCAUCUUUCUUACCAUUAGUCCCAACUUUAACCCAUCAUUUAAAACAUAUUUUACAACUCUAGCCACGCCCGCAGUACGUGCCUUGUCAAUAGCCACAAUUAUUGUCCUAUUUAACAUAUUCCUCCAGUCCUUUUGAUGCUUUUUCGUUAAUAAAUUCAAACAGUUAAAUAUCACCUUUUAUUCUACACCUAAAUUAAGCAUAUUAUUUUAUCGCCAGCCUUUUUAUUGUCCUAUUACUAUUUUAUCUUUAACCUUCUAGUUUACUAAAUUCAACCAGCUAAAUAUCUCAUUUUAUUUUACACCUAAAUUAAGCAUAUAAUCUUAUCUUCAAACUUCUAUUAUACUAUCUUUCCCUUGCCUUUAAGUUCCUAAUUUAUUAGUCCCCUUUUAUCUCGCCUACAACCUCACCUCCUUUCCUAAGAAUUACUCCGCCGAUCCAAGUCGUACCCUCGUAGUCACGAACCUCGCCGGUCACCCAGUAUUCUUAUCUAAAAUUUUCCGAUCCUAGUCGUACCCUCGUAGUCACGAACCUAGCUGGCAGCAAUUGCUAUUUCAAUUAUACCCUAUAUCCCAGGGUCGCACCCUCCAAGUUACGAUCCUAGCCGGGAGAUUUCAGUAUUUUCUCCGAUCCUAACCGUACCCUUAGUUACGAAUCUCGCCGGUAGAACAAUACUCCAAGUUACCAAGGUAAUAACAACACAUUCACCAUGGGUUUGCAUGUCACAAUAAUG